UGGAGAAUAUUAGAUUUUCUUAAUGUUCUGUACGUUCCCUAGCAACUCGGUAACAGGACGUUGCCGAGAAUGAGACCUGAGCCAUGGAUGGCGAAUGUCGAAUGGUUGCGUUAAGUUGAGAAUACUUAAAUCAGAACAUUUAGAAAAUUUUAUAUUUG
rnacentral:ncRNA from 1 species